rnacentral:rRNA from 1 species
AUACGUAGGUGGCAAGCGUUGUCCGGAAUUAUUGGGCGUAAAGCGCAUGUAGGCGGUUUGGUAAGUCGGUCGUGAAAAUGCGGUGCUUAACGCCGGAUGGCGAUUGGAAACUGUGAACUUGCGGGCCGGAGAGGGAAGGGGAAAUCCCAGUGUAGGGGGUGAAUGCGUAGAUAUUGGGAAGAACACCGGUGGCGAAGGCGCCUUUCUGGACUGUGUCUGACGCUCAGAUGCGAAAGCCAGGGUAGCGAACGGGAUUAGAUACCCCGGUAGUCCUGGCCGUAAACGAUGGGUGCUAGGUGUGGGAGGUAUCGACUCCUUCCGUGCCGGAGUUAACGCAUUAAGUACCCCGCCUGGGGAGUACGGCCGCAAGGCUUAAACUCAAAUGAAUUGGCGGGG